rnacentral:rRNA from 1 species
UACGUAGGGUGCAAGCGUUGUCCGGAAUUAUUGGGCGUAAAGGGCUCGUAGGCGGCGUGUCGCGUCGGGAGUGAAAGACCGGGGCUUAACCCCGGUUCUGCUUCCGGUACGGGCAUGCUGGAGUGUGGCAGGGGAGACUGGAAUUCCCGGUGUAGAGGUGAAAUUCGUAGAUAUCGGGAGGAACACCAGUGGCGAAGGCGGCGAUCUGGGAAGAUACUGACGCUGAGGUGCGAAAGCGUGGGGAGCAAACAGG